rnacentral:rRNA from 1 species
AGUGAACGCUGGCGGUAGGCCUAACACAUGCAAGUCGAACGGCAGCACAGUAAGAGCUUGCUCUUACGGGUGGCGAGUGGCGGACGGGUGAGGAAUACAUCGGAAUCUACUUUUUCGUGGGGGAUAACGUAGGGAAACUUACGCUAAUACCGCAUACGACCUACGGGUGAAAGCAGGGGAUCUUCGGACCUUGCGCGAUUGAAUGAGCCGAUGUCGGAUUAGCUAGUUGGCGGGGUAAAGGCCCACCAAGGCGACGAUCCGUAGCUGGUCUGAGAGGAUGAAUAGCCACACUGGAACUGAGGCACGGUCCCGACUCCUACGGGAAGCAACAGUGGGGAAUAUUGGACAAUGGGCGCAAGCCUGAUCCAGCCAUACCGCGUGGGUGAAGAAGGCCUUCGGGUUGUAAAGCCCUUUUGUUGGGAAAGAAAAGCAGCAGGUUAAUACCCCGCUGUUCUGACGGUACCCAAAGAAUAAGCACCGGCUAACUUCGUG